ensembl:lncRNA
GAGAAAACACUGGGAGUAACCACAACUGCCAAUACUAAAUUCUAAUGAGUUAAUUCUCAACAGUGGCUUCAAACAACACAGUGAAAAUGUGUGAAUGAAAGGAAAACACCAAACUUAACCUGAAAAGAGACUCCUGGACUCGCCAUCCCCAGCCUUUCCUUCAAGCCUCAAUCUCUAUCAAUAAUUGGAACAACAUCCUCCAGGCAUAUUGAAGACCACAAGAAGUGAGCUCUGCCCUGCAGGGUGCCACAGAGAAAGAGAGAGACCAACUCAAAGAAAGACCUACCGCAGGGGACACAGGUUAACUGUGGUGUAGUGAAUAAGAAUCCGCAUGCCAGUGCAGGGGACACAGGUUCAAUCCCUGGUCCAGGAAGAUCCCACAUGCCCAUGUGCCACAACUAUCGACAGCCCACGAGCCUCAACUAUUAAGCCCGUGCAUCCCAGCUACUGAAGCCUGUGAGCCUAGAGCCUGUCCACAACGAGAAGCCACGUUCCUUGGCUACACAGAAGAAGAUAACUUUUGGAGACUUUUUUCCUGCCUUGGUCUAGAAACAGGAGGAGACCUGAUGCUGCCACAGCACUGAGCCAUAUAAAACCAGCAUAAGAGGAUCCCUCCUGAGUCUUCUACAGAAUUUGCUUCUAUAAGCCAUAGAACUGGAGGACCAUUGACUUCAUAUUCCCUUCAAGGCAUGAAUUCUUUUAGAAACAAGAACAGUCAACCCUUCCUUGAAUAUUUCUGGAAAGAGUUCACCAUCUUGAUAAAACAUCCUUUUCCAUUUUUAAGAAAUGCUACAAAACUAUUUCUAUCAUGUUGAAAUUUACCUCCAUUUAAUG